rnacentral:rRNA from 1 species
AUGUCAGCAGUUCGAGUCCACUCAUCUUGAGCCCGUGAACUUAGUGCACACAUUGGUAGCACCAAAUUUUGUCGAGUCGGCAUUUUUAUCUACAGUUUCUUAUUUCUGGACUUCCAUAAGAUCCUUGCAUGUAGUAGCAACUUAUGAUGGCAUAGCCUUAACAUUAACGGCCAAGUUCAUAAGAGGAAAGACUUGCGAUGGAUACCUAGACACCCAGUAAUGAGGGGUGUAGCAAGUUACGAAAUGCUUCGGGCUAUUGAAAAUAAGCAUAGAUCCAGAGUUUCUAAAAUAGGACAACCUUAUAUACUGAAUGUUGAAUGCAUGAGUAGGCAAGAGACAACAUGGCGAAAUGAAACAUCUUUGUAG